UACGUAGGGUGCGAGCGUUAAUCGGAAUUACUGGGCGUAAAGCGUGCGCAGGCGGCGCGUUAAGUCAGGUGUGAAAGCCCCGAGCUUAACUUGGGAAUUGCGCUUGUGACUGGCGUGCUGGAGUGUGGCAGAGGGAGGUGGAAUUCCACGUGUAGCAGUGAAAUGCGUAGAGAUGUGGAGGAACACCGAUGGCGAAGGCAGCCACCUGGGCCAGCACUGACGCUCAUGCACGAAAGCGUGGGGAGCAAACAGG
rnacentral:rRNA from 1 species